AUUCCGUGAUGAGGGUACUUUCGUAAUAACUCUUUGAAUCUUUCCCAUGCCUCACACAAGGACUCAUCAUCCAUUUUUUGGAAACCAGUAAUCUCAUUUCUCAGCUU
rfam:Gossypium arboreum cultivar AKA8401 contig_47041_3, whole genome shotgun sequence.